CGGAGGGGCGCGCGCGGGGGCCCGAGGGGCGAAGGCGCGAGUGCGCGAGAGCGCGUGCGCGAGCGGUGGGGCUUUCUCCUGAGCCGUCGGAGGGAGCCGGAGCGCUUCUCCCGAGUUGGUGAUAGAUUGGUGGUCAUCCAACAUGCAGAAAUGAAUGAGCAGUGAAAAGCAGCAGAGCCGAUGGGUCAUGAGGAUGUAAGUGCGUUUGAAGGCUUCCACACCCUCUACUCCAGGAAUCAUGAAUAAACUGGAGGAUAAGCAGGACCAGAUGAUACCAUGAAGAGAAGUUUACAGGCCCUCUAUUGCCAACUGUUAAGUUCCCCCAAAUAAUUGGGAGUGGUUGGA
rnacentral:lncRNA from 1 species